UAUCCGCAGUGUAUUUCCUCGCAUCUACCAUCCCUUUUCUACGCCUCUCUCCCUCUCUCUCUUUCUCCAUCAAAUCUUGUUUUGUUCAAACUCUCUCUCUCUCAUCUAUUCUCUCCAUACAAUACAUGAAUAUACAUACAUACCAUCAUCUUCUUUUCCCAUCUCUAGUUUUUCAUCAAUCUUCUGAUGUUCCAAACGCUCUAUCUCUUCAUAUACAUACAUACGAAUAUAUUAUUGUUGUCAUAGAUCCAUUUAGAAUCACUUUAGCUUUUAGAUGAGAUCUAGGGUUUCUUUGUUUUCUUUCAAAUUUUGUUGCAUAUUCUUCUAAAUCAUGGUUUUUCGCUUGCUAGGUUAUAGAUCCAUGCAAAUAUGGAGUAGAUGUACAAACACACGCUCGGACGCAUAUUACACAUGUUCAUACACUUAAUACUCGCUGUUUUGAAUUGAUGUUUUAGGAAUAUAUAUGUAGAGAGAGCUUCCUUGAGUCCAUUCACAGGUCGUGAUAUGAUUCAAUUAGCUUCCGACUCAUUCAUCCAAAUACCGAGUCGCCAAAAUUCAAACUAGACUCGUUAAAUGAAUGAAUGAUGCGGUAGACAAAUUGGAUCAUUGAUUCUCUUUGAUUGGACUGAAGGGAGCUCCCUCUCUCUUUUGUAUUCCAAUUUUCUUGAUUAAUCUUUCCUGCACAAAAACAUGCUUGAUCCACUAAGUGACAUAUAUGCUGCCUUCGUAUAUAUAGUUCUGGUAAAAUUAACAUUUUGGGUUUAUCUUUAUUUAAGGCAUCGCCAUGGAUAGGUGAAGAAGAAUAUGACCAGUUGUGGAUAUUCAAAUCUGGUAUGACUUACUUUCUUCAUAUCUCUUUAGAUUAGCGAAUGCAAUCAUUUUCUCCAUUUAAUUUUUCAUCUUUCUAGGUUAACUAUAUUUGAUUUGAUGAACCCUAGCGAGUAAACUAGGUUUUCAUUUUUGUAAGCCACUAUCAUUUUCUAAAAUCGCAGACUAAAUUUACCCUUAUAAGUGUUCCUUGCUUUUUCUUUGAAUCUCUCUCUUUUUAUUCUCUGGGAAUUGGCGGUUUCAACAAUUUACAAGUAGGGUUUUGUCUAUUAUUUUAGAUGGCUAGGGUUUAGCGUAAUUACAAAUAUUUGUUUUAAAAAGGAAGGAAUAAAGCUUGGCGACAAACUCAUGAGCUUUGUUUGCUCUUGGGGCAUGAAGAGUUAAUACUGCAGCAACAAGUUCCCAUAAUUUUCAUUUAUUUUACACUUCCCAAUUAUGCUCCUCUCUCUUCAAUGACAUUCUUUAGUUAUUUUUAUAUUUUUGGUAUUUACAUAUAUAUCACAUUUGAAAGUGCUUCGGUUUCUGCUUUUCUGGCCUUUGGAAGUUGAAAUGACAGAUUUUAUCUUUUGUUGCAA
rnacentral:miRNA from 1 species